rnacentral:rRNA from 1 species
CUGCUCCUACGGGGGGCAGCAGUGGGGGAUAUUGCACAAUGGGGGGAACCCUGAUGCAGCGACGCCGCGUGGGUGAAGGAGCGUUUCGGCGCGUAAAGCCCUAUCGGCAGGGAAGAAGCAAGACGGUACCUGACUAAGAAGCCCCGGCUAACUACGUGCCAGCAGCCGCGGUAAUACGUAGGGGGCGAGCGUUAUCCGGAUUCACUGGGUGUAAAGGGAGCGUAGACGGCCAAGCAAGCCAGGGGUGAAAGCCCGGGGCCCAACCCCGGGACCGCCCUUGGAACUGCUUGGCUGGGGG